GGCAAAUUUGAACAAAUAUAUUUGCAUGUACACUGAAACCAAAGUGAUUGGUCAUUGAAAAGGUACAGAUGUAAAGAAUGUGAUUAGCAACAUAUAACACAGAAACAAAAGUUUAUGCCAGAUUAAAAAAAUAAAACAGUUGGCUUGUCUCUUCUGCCAUUUUGAAUUAUAUUUUAGCCCAAUAUGUAUAAAGACUAUUUGCCAGUAAAUGUUUUAUCUAGAUAAAAAUGUUGUAUGGGGUAUGCUGACACAUACUUACUUAGCACCCUGUGAUUUUUAUGAUCGAGUGCAACCCUCUUUUCUCUUUUAGUAAAUGUUUUAUCAACAUACUCAAUAAUUUGUACAGCAAAUAACACCAAGAUAGAUUAAAAUCUAUUUUUUUUAAAGUCUUAUGGAUAACCUACUGGCCACACUUGUUAUUAUAACAGUUUGAAAAUAUGUGUUUACAAUGUGCAAAUCGUGGAUAGAGUGUUGCAUUCCAUUGGUAAUUAAUGGACAUUAAGAACAAAUGCAUAAUAUGUAAAGCUUUAUUUUUGAUACAAUAAAAAUACAAAUUCUAUUUGUAAAAAAGCCAUGUGUAUGGCUACUUAAACAUUCUCUUUAUACAAAUUCCAAAAUAUUGCAUGACAAAUGUACGGAGACAUUUCAUUGCAGAAUAUGAAAAUCUUUAGCGAAUAAUUGCAAUUAACAAUGAAAAAUAACACUGCUCAUUUUUGUGUUAUAUGUAAAAACUACAGGUGAAUUAUGUGAAUAUUAGAAGAACACUCCAAAUUAAAGGAACAUUCCAAGCACUAUAACCAGUACAGCCAAUACAGUGGUUAUAGUGCCAGUAGUGCCUUCCCAGAGUAAUUUAUUAAACUGUUUUAGAACAGUUGACAACUUACUUGGGAUCCCAACAAGUCCAUGACAAUGAUGCUGGGGUCCAGUUUCAAUGGACAAAGCAGGGUCAUGUUCAUUGGCUGCAAGUGUCUGCUGACUGCUCUCAUCUCAUGAGAAUUAAAUCUGGUUUGGCCUGGUUAAUAUCCAUGAAGACAUCCAGCUUCUCCUUCAGCAGAAGACCAGAUGCGGAUGCCCGGGGGCCCCAGGUUAUUGAUCAAAACAUUCUAAAACAGUUUGAUAUAUUACACUGGGAAGGCACAAUAGCUGUAAUGGUUAUGGUUCUUGAGUGUUUCUUUAAGGUUGCGGGGAUCAUAAAAUAGUUAUGGUUAAUUUGAUUCUAAUGUGCUUUUGUGCUUACAACUAAUG